UACGAGGGGGGCAAGCGUUGUUCGGAUUCAUUGGGCGUAAAGCGUGCGCAGGCGGUUUUGUAAGUCUGACGUGAAAGCCCCGGGCUUAACCUGGGAACUGCAUUUGUGACUGCAUGGCUAGAGUGUGUCAGAGGGGGGUAGAAUUCCACGUGUAGCAGUGAAAUGCGUAGAUAUGUGGAGGAAUACCGAUGGCGAAGGCAGCCCCCUGGGAUAACACUGACGCUCAUGCACGAAAGCGUGGGGAGCAAACAGG
rnacentral:rRNA from 1 species